rnacentral:rRNA from 1 species
GACGAACGCUGGCGGCGUGCUUAACACAUGCAAGUCGAACGGAAAGGCCCUGCUUGCAGGGUACUCGAGUGGCGAACGGGUGAGUAACACGUGGGUGAUCUGCCCUGCACUUCGGGAUAAGCCUGGUAAACUGGGUCUAAUACCGGAUAGGAGCCAUUUUUAGUGUGAUGGUUGGAAAGUUUUUUCGGUGUAGGAUGAGCUCGCGGCCUAUCAGCUUGUUGGUGGGGUAAUGGCCUACCAAGGCGGCGACGGGUAGCCGGCCUGAGAGGGUGGACGGCCACAUUGGGACUGAGAGACGGCCCAGACUCCUACGGGAGGCAGCAGUGGGGAAUAUUGCACAAUGGGCGCAAGCCUGAUGCAGCGACGCCGCGUGGGGGAUGACGGCCUUCGGGUUGUAAACUCCGUUCGCUAGGGACGAAGCUUUUUGUGACGGUACCUAGAUAAGAAGCACCGGCUAACUACGUG